UGCUUUAUUGGGGCAAAAGCACCAAGGUUUCGACCAUACCGGUAGGGUCAAAACAUUUCUGCUUUUGCCCCAAUAAAGCU